AGCUGGCGCUACUCUCCCAACACGCGUCCUGUGGAACAGGAAGGAGCAAAGCCGUGGCGCAGCCGUCACGCGGCGCACACGCGUCCUGUGGACUUUCAGGAGUCUCCAGGAGCUUGAUACGGAGCUUAUGGGGAAAAGGAGGAAGAUCAAUCCUGGUGUCAGCAUCUCAGCACACAUCUCUCCCAGUAACGGCAGGACAAGUGUCAGCUGGAGGAGAGGCAGCCGCCAUGCAGAGAGAGAGAGAGAGAGAAAGAGACUUCUACACAUGCCAUGGGAUGUGUAUGAAUGAAGGAGGUCUUGGCUUUGUUGUGGGAGUUCAUCACCAAGCCGGCCUGUUUGCAUUUAAAAGUCAAAGAGCAUCUUGAGGCUGUCACGGCCCACCUGACACACGGGAGGAACCUCGGUCCACUCCUCCCAGACGUUACCCGUGAGGCACCUGGACAGCAAAGGGGAUGGCGUGCAAUGGCGGAAGAUGUGGGGAAAAAGAUAAUCAGAAAAUGAGGGUCAUCCUCCUCGGGCCCCAGCCUCCCAGGGGACGGACAGGAACGCUGAUAAAACAAUCACCAUAAAGAGUUCCAGACUCACAGCUGAAGAGUGAGUGCUGGAGGCUCCUUCAGUGUCAGCGUGUGUGCUAAGAGCCACUUGCUCUCCUUCACCACCCCCCUACCACCGCUACCUCUGCUCUGACAGGGGCCCGGUCGAUAAAGUGGAUUUGAGAUAUAAAUGUUUCCCACAGCCCCCUCCAUCACUCUGAGACACCUGCAUGCCGGGACAGAGUGACACAAAGGGAGGCUCUGUUCCACCAUCUCUGCCACCCUCAGAGAGCAGCAUGUUUGGAAAGUUAGUCCCUAAAAGUUGCGUGUAAAGCGCUGCAAGUACAGCUCGUAAUCUCUGUCUACUUUGGUACUCUCUUUUAUCUCUCACUGAAUUUCCUAAAGUAAUUGAAGAGCUAAAAAAGUCCUUUGAGAGUAAUAUGCUCGGCAGCUGCAGGGGUUCGAUAAAGUGUCUAAAAAAAUUGGGAAAGUAUACAAACAUCCCAAGUGGCAGGAGCAAUUUUAUCCUGCAGUACCCUCAUUUCUAACCUCCCUAGAUGCUAAACUGUUGUGAUAGAAAUGUGGCGUAGUUGGCUGAGAUUUAAAUAUCGCAAUGGAAUAUCUCAAAAUGCGCUUUAGACCCCCAUGGUCCACAGAAUAUGAUUCCUAAAAAUACUAGUGACCCCUGACUUUUCCUGUAGCAGGCUGGCUGAAAAAGCAGACAUGUUUCAUAUACUGUACUUCUCAACAAUAUACUGAUACAAACAUGUUCGAUUCAAAAGCCCUGGAGAUAAAGACAAUGCAGAGUAUCCCUAACACACCCACAUCAUGAUCAUUACACUCAGCAGUGAGUCCUUGUGUAAACAGGAAAUCCUGUUAAACCACAGUGAGCACACUCCACUGCUAAGUUACCAAACAGUCCUAUUUGUCACUUUGCAUCAUAGAAUUCCAAUAUUUAUGUUAGCAUGAUAUUGACAAAUGAAAAUCCUGAAUAUCAAACCAAGGUUGAUUUGCUAAACAAAAAAUGUUCACUAACCAGAAAAGAAGCGCCUUUGAUUUUGAUUGCCGCAUUUCUCAGCCCAGCUCUUAA